GGGUUGUGAGGUUAAGCGACUAAGCGUACACGGUGGAUGCCCUGGCAGUCAGAGGCGAUGAAGGGCGUGCUAAUCUGCGAUAAGCGCCGGUAAGGUGAUAUGAACCGUUAUAACCGGCGAUACCCGAAUGGGGAAACCCAGUGUGACUCGUCACACUAUCAUUAACUGAAUCCAUAGGUUAAUGAGGCGAACCGGGGGAACUGAAACAUCUAAGUACCCCGAGGAAAAGAAAUCAACCGAGAUUCCCCCAGUAGCGGCGAGCGAACGGGGAGGAGCCCAGAGCCUGAAUCAGCAUGUGUGUUAGUGGAAGCGUCUGGAAAGGCGCGCGAUACAGGGUGACAGCCCCGUACACAAAAGCGCAUGUGCUGUGAGCUCGAUGAGUAGGGCGGGACACGUGGUAUCCUGUCUGAAUAUGGGGGGACCAUCCUCCAAGGCUAAAUACUCCUGACUGACCGAUAGUGAACCAGUACCGUGAGGGAAAGGCGAAAAGAACCCCGGCGAGGGGAGUGAAAAAGAACCUGAAACCGUGUACGUACAAGCAGUGGGAGCCCCACCACUAAGCCAGUGGUGAACUCCACAUCCGC
rnacentral:rRNA from 1 species